CAGCUGGUAGGUCCAGAGAGGUGAUGACCAGUGGCCAGUCCAGCUGGUAGGUCCAGAGAGGUGAUGACCAGUGGCCAGUCCAGCUGGUAGGUCCAGAGAGGUGAUGACCAGUGGCCAGUCCAGCUGGUAGGUCCAGAGAGGUGAUGAAGUCUUGAGGCUGUGACAUGCUGCUAGAUUCAGUUAGUGAACACACUAUAGUAUCAUUCAUCCAGUCCAGGCUGACGUUAACACAACAACAUUACUGCCAAUGGAUCACAUGACCAAACAAACAUACACACACACAUACAGUACACACACAUACAGCACACCCACACACAGUACACACACACACACAGUACACACACAUACAGCACACACACAUACAGCACACACACACACAGUACACACAGUACACACAGCACACACACACACACAUACAGCACACACACAUACAGCACACACACACACAGCACACACACAUACAGCACACACACAGUACACACACACACAUACAGCACACACAGUACACACACACACACACACACACAUACAGGACACACAGUACACACAGUACAUACAGCACACACACAUACAGCACACACACAGUACACACACACACAUACAGGACACACAGUACACACACAGUACAUACAGCACACACACACAGACAGUACACACACAUACAGCACACACACAUACAGUACACACACAUACAGCACACACAGUACACACACACACAUACAGCACACACAUACAGCACACACACAUACAGCACACACACAUACAGCACACACACAUACAGCACACACACAUACAGCACACACACAUACAGCACACACACACACAGCACACACACACACAGCACACACACAUACAGCACACACACAUACAGCACACACACAUACAGCACACACACAUACAGCACACACACAUACAGCACACACACA
ensembl:lncRNA